UACGGAAGGCAGCAGUGGGGAAUAUUGCACAAUGGGCGCAAGCCUGAUGCAGCCAUGCCGCGUGUAUGAAGAAGGCCUUCGGGUUGUAAAGUACUUUCAGUCGUGAGGAAGGUGUUAAGGUUAAUAACCUUAGCAAUUGACGUUAGCGACAGAAGAAGCACCGGCUAACUCCGUGCCAGCAGCCGCGGUAAUACGGAGGGUGCGAGCGUUAAUCGGAAUUACUGGGCGUAAAGGGCACGCAGGCGGUUAAUUAAGUUGGAUGUGAAAUCCCCGGGCUUAACCUGGGAAUGGCAUUCAAGACUGGUUAGCUAGAGUCUUGUAGAGGGGGUAGAAUUCCAUGUGUAGCGGUGAAAUGCGUAGAGAUGUGGAGGAAUACCGGGUGGCGAAGGCGGCCCCUGGGACAAGACUGACGCUCAUGUGCGAAAGCGUGGGGAGCGAAACAGGAUUAGAUACC
rnacentral:rRNA from 1 species